GGGAACUCUGACUUCCAUCAACCUGAGCCACCACUGGACCCCAGGGAAGUCACCCUCCUGCACCUAAAAGGUAGGAAACAGGAGGGUGAUUUAAAUAUUAUGUGUGUGUGUGCUUGUUUGUAUGUACGUAUGUAUGUAUGUGUUUGUGUCUAUCUGUCUGUAUGUAUGCCUGUCUGUUUGUAUGUAUGUCUUUGUAUGUGUGUGUCUGUCUGUCUGUGUCUGUCUAUCUGUAUGUAUGUGUGCCUGUCUGUUUGUAUGUAUGUGUCUUUGUAUGUAUGUGUGUCUUGUGUGUGUGCCUGUCUGUAUGUAUGUGUGUAUGUAUGUAUGUAUGUAUGUGUGCCUGUCUGUUUUUAUGUAUGUAUGUGUCUUUGUAUGUAUGUGUGUCUUGUCUGUAUGUUUGUAUAUAUGUAUGUGUGUCUUGUCUGUAUGUAUGUGUGCCUGUCUGUCUGUUUGUAUGUAUGUGUCUUUGUAUGUAUGUGUCUGUAUGUAUGUGUCUGUGUGUGUGUCUCUGUAUGUAUGUGUGUGUGUGUGU